rnacentral:rRNA from 1 species
AUGCACGCUGGCGGCGUGCCUAAUCCCUGCAAGUCGAGCGAACAGACGAGGAGCUUGCUCCUCUGACGUUAGCGGCGGACGGGUGAGUAACACGUGGAUAACCUACCUAUAAGACUGGGAUAACUUCGGGAAACCGGAGCUAAUACCGGAUAAUAUAUUUAACCGCAUGGUUCAAUAGUGAAAGACGGUUUUGCUGUCACUUAUAGAUGGAUCCGCGCCGCAUUAGCUAGUUGGUAAGGUAACGGCUUACCAAGGCAACGAUGCGUAGCCGACCUGAGAGGGUGAUCGGCCACACUGGAACUGAGACACGGUCCAGACUCCUACGGGAGGCAGCAGUAGGGAAUCUUCCGCAAUGGGCGAAAGCCUGACGGAGCAACGCCGCGUGAGUGAUGAAGGUCUUCGGAUCGUAAAACUCUGUUAUUAGGGAAGAACAAAUGUGUAAGUAACUAUGCACGUCUUGACGGUACCUAAUCAGAAAGCCACGGCUAACUACGUG